GUUAUGAGAGCUUUAUGUCUAAUUGACUUAUCCUAAGGGAUGAGAUAAUGAGCAAAAAAUAACACGUCCUUGAAGAGGCAAUCCUACCCUUCAACCUUCUGUGUCCCACGUAGGUCCUGGUGAACUGGUUCCAUUCCAAUUAUGAGCCCUUCUAUUUCAUGUAAGAGAAACAAAACUGGAGAGAUGCUGGAUGCUGCCCUGACAAUAUGGAAGCAGUCUUGGAGAUACAGUGACCAUACGAAAAGAUUCUCCAGAACUAUUGUUGGUAUAUUGUACUGUAUACAACACUUGAUUAGGACGUAACUAACAGAGCCAGGAUUCAAACCCAGCUGCUUUGACUUGAAAUGAAGUCCACACCAAAGAGUUCCUUCCAAUCCAAAAUGUGAUCUCUUUAUACUUCUUUCUCCCAGCAGAAUCAGACCCAUUGUUUUCUAUUUUUAAAGCCCUUGGUGGGAAGAGUGAAAAGAUUCCCCGCAAAUAUAUAAGGCCAUCUGAAGAGAAACAGAUCGGUUAUUUUAUCCACGUCAUGCUUGGUGGAGUGAAGCUCCUUCUUAGAGGGCUUGGAGAGCAUGUGGUAAAUAUUAAGGGCUUGACUGAAAGUUUAGCACAUGAAGAGUUCUUAAACACCCACCCACUGGCUCUCUGAGCCAACAAUCAAGGCAAAAGGGAACGAACAGGUUCUCAGGCCCAUAGCGCACAGGAGGUGUUUGACAUGAGCCAAGUGGGACCCUGAAACAACAUGAGGGAAAACCUGGUACUCAUUACAUCCAAGUCUGUAGAUAUCCUUGGCACACUCGAUCUUAGUGAUGAAGACCCAGGCGGUGAAGAAACGGUGAGAUGCAUGGGGAGAAGAGAGGCAGACAGUCAAAAUGUGUCUGCAUAGGACCGAUGAUAAACUUGUGCUCAAUCCUUGAAAGCUGAGAAGCGGACAUGCACGUCUGCGAUGAACUAUUUUUUAAUGUAGUUUCUGUGCCCUUCAGCCCAUCACAUCAUAAUUGCUGCGGCAGAGAAGAAUCAAAGACAGAACUCCUUCUCUGUCUUUGCUGAACUGAAAGCUGUCCCACAUGUUUGAAAGCCUCUCCUUCUCCACCUCCUGUUGGACUCCUUAGCUUCCAUCAAAGCUCCUCUCAAUGGCUGAUUCCUAUAAGGAAGCCUUUCCUCAUCUCUCUAAGCUCCUGGUGGCCCCCUUUUGCAAAUUGCCUUAUAGUUACUUUGUAUCUAUUUUGUAUACUGAUAAAAUAUGUUUACAUGUUAUUUCCCCAAUAGAAUGUAAACUCCCUGAAGGCUGAGAUUGCUUUAAUUUUUGUCUUUGUAUCCCUAGUGCUUAGCAUUAUACUUGCCAUGUAGUAGAUGCCUAAUAAAUGCUUGUUGAUUAGAUGGUGGAUG
rnacentral:lncRNA from 1 species